rnacentral:pre_miRNA from 1 species
AAUCUAAUGGAAACAUUUCUGCACAAACUAGACUAUUGAAACCAGUGUGCAAAAUUGCUUCUGCUACAUU